ACUGUUAAAUAUAUUUUUAUGUUUCAGAAAUAAAGUGCCACCUAGGCCGGCUGGUCAAAGAACAGAAUCCGAUGCUAAUAAUAGUUUACCCACUUUUAGCUUUGGAGAAGGUAAUUUUCAUUUGUCAUUUGGAAUAGGAGCAUUUCCUUUUGGAUUUUUAACAUCGUUUAAUUUCACUGAUCGUCUACAUGGAAUUCCAGUUGGUAAUCAACUACAACAAGAUGAUCAAUACUUAUCAAAACUUUUCUUAUGGAUUGCAGUAAUAUUUAUUAUUUGGCUAUUGUUAGCAUGAUUUACUCAUAGAGUAUGUUCUUUUUAUUUUAAAUAUUAUUCUAUCAUUCAAUGAACUACCGUGUGAGUUAAAAUUCUGUUACACAAAAUUGUUCAACCAUAYGAUGCUUCAAAUGACUGCUUUAUUGUCWUUAUGUGUGUGCCAACUAAUGACAUGUUAUGGCAAAAUAUCCAAGGCCAUGCACUAGCCAGUAGCCAGAAUAUUCUGCAUUGACUUAAAUAACAAAGCAUAUAAAAUUAUAAUAUAUGUUAAUGCACAUUUUAAUUAUUAGUAUGUCCAACAUGAAAAGAAUAAUAUUAUUAUGUAUAAUCAUUUUGGUAUUAAUUACUCUAUCAAAUAAUUACGUAUUCAUAAUUUUUUUUCAGAAAAGCUAAUUGUUAAUAAUCAGUUCUUUGAAAAAUUUUAAAAAUUAAUUAAUUAUCUCAUGAUUAAAGAACAGAAAUGGCACGUUCAUAUCCGAAAAACAAAAUACAAUCAGGAUAUAAGAAAACACAUACAGUGGCUGAACUCAGUGACUUACUGAUGUUUUUUGAAAAACUUUUCAAUACUACAGUGCCAUAAUAAUAAUUAUUUAUGUUAAACUAUAAAAUGGAUAAUAUYCAUGUGUAUGUUGUUCAUACUAUAUUACAUAUACUUAAUUAAUUUUAAUUAACUUCUUAAAAGCAAUUGAUAAAAAUAUUA